rnacentral:rRNA from 1 species
GACGAACGCUGGCGGCGUGCCUAAUACAUGCAAGUUGAGCGCUGAAGGUUGGUACUUGUACCAACUGGAUGAGCAGCGAACGGGUGAGUAACGCGUGGGGAAUCUGCCUUUGAGCGGGGGACAACAUUUGGAAACGAAUGCUAAUACCGCAUAAAAACUUUAAACACAAGUUUUAAGUUUGAAAGAUGCAAUUGCAUCACUCAAAGAUGAUCCCGCGUUGUAUUAGCUAGUUGGUGAGGUAAAGGCUCACCAAGGCGAUGAUACAUAGCCGACCUGAGAGGGUGGUCGGCCACAGUGGGACUGAGACACGGCCCAAACUCCUACGGGAGGCAGCAGUAGGGAAUCUUCGGCAAUGGACGGAAGUCUGACCGAGCAACGCCGCGGGAGUGAAGAAGGUUUUCGGAUCGUAAAACUCUGUUGGUAGGGAAGAACGUUGGUGAGAGUGGAAAGCUCAUCAAGUGACGGUAACUACCCAGAAAGGGACGGCUAACUACGUG